CGAGGCUCCUGCAGAUGCCAGGCACCUCUUAUGCUCAGUCAAGGAAGGUCUGUCAGCUUCUAUCAGCACAAAGGAGCAACCCAGUUAAGCAAGGUCAGAAGACUCUGAGGCAGCAGACAACUGGGAAAAGGGGAGAAUAGAUAUCUAAAAUCUAAGAAAGACAGUGUUUAUCACUGAUGCUUACAUCAAGUUAUUGGGUGCCCUCAUUUAUUAUGUUAGAAUGGUUGCAGCUGAUGUGAAUUCAUCUAAAAGCAAAGUCUACUCAUGAUUUUCAAGGAGAAAAAUGAAAGACAGUACCAAACCAAACCAAAGCAAACAAACAAAGAAACCAAAACCACAGCCCCUGGGCUCUCUCUCUAGUCCCAUGAACAUUUACCACAAUUUACUCAGAAAAAGAGCCGCUGUGGAGACCCAGCUCUACCUUGUGC